rnacentral:lncRNA from 1 species
UAGCGGUUGACAAAGAUCUGGUUCUAGCUUUUGCUCUUCAAUUUGACGGUCCUCAGGCUAAUGCCUGAUAUUGCUUGUGUAAUUUUAUUUCCCUUUUGAAAUUUUUUAUCAACCUGAUGUGGACUUUUGUAAAUAUUUUUUAUAUCAAUAAAAAAAAAAUUCUCUAAGUAUGUGUAUUUUUCUUUUUCACGUCGGAUCUUUCCAAUUUCAUUUAACCCGAUCCAGGUAUUGAUAACUCAAAAUCUUAAGAAAUUUCUAUAAGUUAUUUAUAAUA